rnacentral:tRNA from 1 species
GAGGAUGUAACUCAGUGGUAGAGUGCUUGCCUCUCAUGCACAAGACCCUGAGUUCCAUCCUUAGUACCACCA